AGAGUUUGAUCAUGGCUCAGAGCGAACGCUGGCGGCAGGCUUAAUACAUGCAAGUCGAGCGCCUGUAGCAAUACAGGAGCGGCAGACGGGAGAGUAACACGUGGGAACGUGCCCUUUGGUUCGGAACAACACAGGGAAACUUGUGCUAAUACCGGAUAAGCCCUUACGGGGAAAGAUUUAUUGCCAAAGGAUCGGCCCGCGUCUGAUUAGCUAGUUGGUGGGGUAAUGGCCCACCAAGGCGACGAUCAGUAGCUGGUCUGAGAGGAUGAUCAGCCUCAUUGGGACUGAGACACGGCCCAAACUCCUACGGGAGGCAGCAGUAGGGAAUAUUGGACAAUGGGCGCAAGCCUGAUCCAGCCAUGCCGCGUGAGUGAUGAAGGCCUUAGGGUUGUAAAGCUCUUUCGGCGGGGAAGAUAAUGACGGUACCCGCAUAAGAAGCCCCGGCUAACUUCGUGCCAGCCGCCGCGGUA
rnacentral:rRNA from 1 species